ACUCUGCGUUUAUCGGGCACGCGCGCGCGCCCACCAAGCGCCGUCCACGCCCGGUUCUGGAGGGCGGGUGUAGUAACGUCAGCGCGCAGGGGGGGCAGGCUGUGGAUUCUGGGAGCACAAACACACACAUCAGCCAUUUUUCAGUUUGCUGUGCUCAUCCUUUCACUUCAACGCGAACAUCCUCACAACGCAGAGCUGAAAGGGACGAGAAAAAUGGACGAAGCGAAAGCGGGUCAGCAAACGCACGAGCGGCGGUUUUGCUAAUAACAACAAACAAACGAACGCACCAAACACUCGAUGGGACUCACACCGUUUACCUGCUAAAUCGCCUUUGGGACCGAAUCUGGACAUCUCUGAAUCCAUUAAACCACAUUAGAAGUUUGAACCCCAUCCAUAAAGCAGCUUAUAAAAGCAGGUGUGUGUGUGUGUGUCAGUGGGUGAUGUCCACCAUGGUUUACCCUCGUGACGAGGCUCUGGAGCGGCUGACGCAGGAUGAUAUCGUGCUCAACACUAAAGCGGUGAUGCAGGGUUUGGAGACGCUGCGAGGGGAACACGCUCAACUCCUCAACACCAUCCUGGACUGCAGUCAACCAGCCGGAGCGCAGGAGAAAUCCAGACUGCUGCGCAAGAGCCUGGAGGACAUCGAGCUAGGCCUGGGGGAAGCACAGGUGAUCAUCGCUCUGUCGGGUCAUCUGAGCGCUGUGGAGUCAGAGAAGCAGAAGCUGCGUGCUCAGGUGCGUCGUCUCUGUCAGGAGAACCAGUGGCUGCGGGACGAGCUGGCGAAUACCCAACACAAGCUGCAGAAGAGCGAGCAGAGCGUCGCACAGCUGGAGGAGGAGAAGAAGCAUCUGGAGUUCAUGAACCAGAUCCGCAAGCUGGACGAGGACACAUCGCCCUCUGAGGAGAAGGCUGGGGAGAAGGAGAAGGACAAUCUGGAUGACCUGUUCCCCAACGAUGACGACCAGGGGCCAGGUGAGGAUUGAGACACUGAUUAUAGCUGUGUUAUGAUGCUGUUUCUGUUAGGUUAAUUAGGCAAGUCAUGGUAUAAUGAUGGUUUGUUUUGUAGACAAUUAUAAAUAUAGCUUACAGGGCUCGAAAUUAACUUUUUUACUUGGUAGCACCGGUGCUCCCAACUUAAAACUUUAGGAGCACCAGAAAAAAUUUAGGAGCACCCACCAAAAAUGAUUGAGCACCGCUGCAAUUUGUAUUUUAAGGGAUUUAUUGUAUUUUAAAACAACAUCAAUAAGGACUAACAAAAACCAGAAACAACUAUCUAACUAAUGCUGAGAUGACAUUGAUAUUUGUGUGCAACAAUUCCAAAAUGAAUGUCGAAUAAUUAUAAAAUAUUAAUGAUGAUGAAAAUGACAAUAAUAGUAACAAUGAAUUACAUUUGUCAUCAUCAUGCUGCCUUGAAUGUGCAUGAAUGCAAGUUAUCAGCUAUAAAAAGUCUGUUACUUUAUGAAAAAUAAAUGUAUAGUUUGCAUCAAACAAAAAUGAAGCAUUGCAGUAAGAAAUAUUUCUUUUGUACAGCUGUUUAUAUAUGCAUGUCAGUUUAAUAAAUAAUAUUUCUGCUACAAAACAAACAAAAGAUUUUAACAAAUAAUUAAAUUCAAGGCUGAAAGCUGCAAAACAGUCAUCAGUAACUAAAUAAAAAAAUAUAUAUACACCUCAAGAAAGAAUAGACAAAAGAAAUUAAGUCUCACUUCUAU
ensembl:lincRNA